GAAUUUAAGUUUUUAUAAUUUGUGAAUAAUUUAUUGGGUAAAAAAGAACUCGCAGGUUUUUGUACAGCAGCAGCUAGAGAAAAGUAAUACAUACGCACGCAAUAUAACAAUAUAAGACCCUCUUCCUCUGAAAAAAAGAAAAAAAAAAACAAACAAACUCUCUCUAUCUCUCUCGCCCCCCAUAUUUUUCUUGCACAAAACCAUCUUUCUUCUUCUCCUUUCUCCUUUCUCUCUCUAGGGUUUUUUUCUCUCUCUACUGGUCAUCUUUAACCAGUAACCGCCAACACACAAGCCUUCACAUUUAUAUAAGAUAUAUAUCGAAAUAUUUAUAUAUAUAUAUACGUAUGUAAAUAUAAUUGUUGUGUUUUUGUUUUCGUUUUAAUGGCAACAGCACCUGUGAAGCCGCAACAGUUACACAACUUCCCUAUUUCUCUCAAAUGGGGCCAAACCACCACUACCACCACAAUCAGCGCCAAUCACCAGCACCACCACCACAAUCGGAGCUCCAGUAGCAACAACCAGCGACUAGCAACACCUGUGCAUGAGUCCGAAACUGAAUCCGACCCGGACCAAUCACAAUCCACAAUCCGACAUCCUCGCGUCGGAUCCCGUUCUGCACGUGUACAUCGCUACUCAUUUGCAUCUUGCUCUACUCUUCUACCUAAAGCGAAAACGGAAAUCCCGCAAAAACCGGAAGCUACUGAAAAGCCGCAGCAGAAGAACCUCGCCGUUUUGGAAAAUAAUAAUAAGAACGAAGCAGAAGAAAUAGAAGAAGAGGAUUCAUCAUCCAGGCCGUGGAAGUUGAGGCCAAGGAAAGGGAUAUUAACUGGAAGUAGUAAAGAAACGGCGACGCUUCUUGGAAAUGAGCAGAGGGACAGUACGACGCCAAAAUCGAUGAGACUAAGAGGAUUAGUAGACUCCACAUCGUCAGGAUUAGGAGUAGGAUUAGGAAACGGUGUUAGUUUGGAGAAGAAAGAGAAAAGGAAGUUUUGGGUAGCCUUAUCAAGGGAAGAAAUUGAAGAGGAUGUUUUUGUAUUGACUGGUUCUAGACCUGCUAGAAGACCUAAAAAACGUCCAAAAAACGUACAGAAAAUUCUUGAUAGUGUUUUUCCUGGAUUAUGGUUGGUAGGCACUACAGCUGAUUCUUAUAGAGUUGCCGAUCCUCCGGUGAAGAGGUGAAAAAACUACAUAUGGAUCAUCCGAUACCUUCUAUGGAAUCAAUUUGAGGGUGUAAUCAAUGACUUCUAUAGAGAUGGGAGAUUGGAGAGGAGGCUUACUUAAAGCAUUUGUGGGGGUUGUUAGCUUCUUGUUUAUUUGCAAGAGUUGGUUCAAAUAUAUGAUUUCUCAAUGGAGAUAGUACUUUGCUUGCUUCCUUGAUUUAGAGGCCCUCUAUUGAAUCAGCUUCACCAAGUCAAAUUUCCUCAUGAGGGUCCUGCAAAGCAAAGAGGCAAGCACAUUUGGAGGAUUUCCUAAAGCUUUAGAUUGUGGUCAGGUUCUUCGACUAAAUCCUCCAGAUCCCUCAGCUUCCGUUUCUCAAAGAUUUAAACAUGUUGUCAUGAAUUAGAGCUUGGUUGCAUCUGUUCUCAGAAGCUGUUUGUACUUGCAGCUGGAGCUUGAGAUCUGCAGAAAUGAUUAGUCAGGAAUGGGAUUUGAUAUUUGGAAGUUACUUGUAUGAACCAACUCCUUCUUUCCUAGCAAGUUUGGUUGCUAGGCCAUUAUUGGGAGUGAAGAGUGGCUUCAAGCAUGCUUUUUAGAAUUUUUUUGUGGUAUAUAUUGUUGCUAUUUGGUCGAUGAUUGUUGUAAACCAGAGCCGCCAGAGAUCCAAACUUGGACAAACUGGGAUCAAUUUGGAACUUUGAAGAAUACUUAAUGGUCCUGGACUAGCAUGGCGUAACUUUGUUGUUCUUACUCUAUAUCUAUGUCUGGAGCUCAUAUGGUGACUAUUGUGCCUCAUAUUGCGAGGAAAUUUGGUUAUUCUCUAAGCUAUGAUUUGGGGCUGAUAAGCCGAGUUCAUACCUACUUAAAUCUGUGAAAGAAUUAUUCCAUCCAUGCCAUUAUUCCAUUUCCUCUUUUCCCUUUCCACUUGACAUAUUCAAUUACUAAUUGACAAUAUAAAAGUGUCUUUUAUGACCGGUCAAUACGAUGGGAUCUUUUCGUUUGAA